GGGGUUUUUGUGUUUUUGUGUGGCAGCACACAUACAUUUAUAGAUUUGAUUUUAUUUCUCCUCACUGGUUUGAUUAGCGGACUGACGACAUGGCUCGAUUUAACGACUUGAUGACGGAAACGGAACGUUCAGAGACAAAUGGACAGAGAAGUACACGUUUAUUCUCCUCACGUACAAGUUCAUAUAUACACGCUGUAUAUUUUUAAUCUAUUCUAGUCAAAAGUGUUUUAUUGUAUUCAUAGCCAGACAUGUACGAUUUAAAAGGUAAACGGUUGCCAUGUUAGUCGUAAAAGAUUCGUAGUUGUAAAAGAUCUGUAAUGUAAAAGAUCCGUAGUGUAAAAGAUGCGUAGUUGUAAAAGAUUCGUAGUUGUAAAAGAUGCGUAGUUGUAAAAGAUUCGUAGUUGUAAAAGAUGCGUAGUUGUAAAAGAUCCGUAUUGUAAAAGAUGCGUAGUUGUAAAAGAUUCGUAGUUGUAAAAGAUGCGUAGUUGUAAAAGAUCCGUAGUUGUAAAAGAUUCGUAGUUGUAAAAGAUUCAUAAUUGUAAAAUAUUCGUAGUUGUAAAUAGAUCCGUAGUUGUAAAAGAUUCGUAG
ensembl:lncRNA